UACUAUUAAAAAAUCAAUUCUGAGACUGCUUUCAAAUCCCAAUAUGAAGAAGAAAACGCUCCAAAAAAGAACAAAGAAGCAGGAGCAGCAGCAACGAAGAAGACUUCAACCUUCAAGCUUGAAACAUUCAAUAAUUGAACGGAGAAUUGCUAGACCUAUCUAAUUUCGACGGCAACCAGUGUUCACUACAUGAGAAACGAUGAAGAUUAAGCAAAAAUUCACAUUUAUUAAGGUGCAAACUUCUGGGACUGCUCAUGUACAUCAGUAUUCUAUUCCUAUGAGUCGAAGACCUCUACGUAGUCAUUGAGCUUCUUGUGACCACGAAGAUAUGUUGAGACAAUUGUUGCACCACGUGGAGAGGUUCUCCGAUAAAUAUGAAUAAAUAAAUAGGAAGGUCGAUACUAUAAUGAAUUAGAUGAGACUGAGCCAACAUCUCGAUAGAGACCAUUCAUUUGGGAAUGAUGGAGUAUUUGGGAUCGAGGGAGAUUCCUUGAGGAAGUUGAGAGGGAGAUGUAGACAGUGGUUGGGGGCACUAAGAGGGGGGUUGAGAUAGGGGAGAUUAGGAGGGAGGCAGUUGCAGGGAGCAUUGAGAGGGAGGCUGUGACAGGGGAAAAGGCUGAGAGAUUGGGAGGGAGGCAAUUGCAAUGAGCAUUGAGAGGGUGACUGGGGCAAGAAACGCUGUGAUAUAGAUUGUGGUAUGUACGUACUAAAAUAUAUAGAAUUCUUGAGCAUCAACAAUCCAAUAGAACAAGUUAAUGGCUUCCAUAGAAUAGAUGGAGGGAAAAGAUGGCUGCCAAUAAUUUUGCCCUUGAUUAUGAACCGUAGGACCUUUUGAUGUAUUUGUAUGUUUACGAGUUAUGAGUGUAAAUAUAUAAUUUUAUAGCGUAUGUUGAAUGUGGGUCUUUUUAUGUUA